rnacentral:rRNA from 1 species
GACGAACGCUGGCGGCGUGCUUAACACAUGCAAGUCGAACGAAGUGGCGAACGUGUGAGUAACGCGUAAUCAACCUGCCCUUCUUAGGGGUACAACUGUUGGAAACGACUGCUAAUACCGUAUAUUUAAGGUGGGUAUUGCGUCUGAUUAGUUAGGUGGAGGGGUAACGUCCCACCAAGGCGAUGAUCUGUAGCAGGUCUGAGAGGAUGAACGGCCACAUUGGGACGGAGAAACGGCCCAGAUUGCUACGGGAGGCAGCAGUGGGGAAUCGUCCGAAAUGGACGGAAGACUGACGGAGCAACGCCGCGGGAGUGAUGAGGGCCUUCGGGUGGUAAAGCGCUGUUAAUCGGGACGCGGUACCGGAAUAGAAAGCCACGGCUAACUACGUGCCAGCAGCCGCGGUAAUUC